rnacentral:lncRNA from 1 species
CCACGAAUCUUCACUUAUCUAGCUAAUUUAGUUGAUCAAAUUCUUUUUGGGCUACUUAGUGUUGAGUUCACCACAUUUGCAUUACACCAUAAGUUUGAUCUUGGUGAAUCAAGAUAGGAUCUCUCAAGUAGAUCCAAUAUAGUUAUGAAUUUACAUGUGAUGUAAAUAAAUAAUUAAAAUCUAAAGAAGACCUAAAUUAAAUCUCCUCAUAGAUAUUAAGUCGAGUGGUCU